rnacentral:rRNA from 1 species
GACGAACGCUGGCGGCGUGCUUAACGCAUGCAAGUCGAGCGGUAAGGCCCUUCGGGGUACACGAGCGGCGAACGGGUGAGUAACACGUGGGUGACCUGCCUUUAGCUCUGGGAUAAGCCUGGGAAACUGGGUCUAAUACCGGAUAUGACCUCAUGAUGCAUGUUGUGGGGUGGAAAGCCUUGUGCGGCUGGAGAUGGGCCCGCGGCCUAUCAGCUUGUUGGUGGGGUGAUGGCCUACCAAGGCGACGACGGGUAGCCGGCCUGAGAGGGCGACCGGCCACACUGGGACUGAGACACGGCCCAGACUCCUACGGGGGCAGCAGUGGGGAAUCUUGCGCAAUGGGCGAAAGCCUGACGCAGCGACG